rnacentral:rRNA from 1 species
AAGACCUUGCGCUUUUGGAGCGGCCGAUGUCUGAUUAGCUUGUUGGUGAGGUAAGAGCUUACCAAGGCUUCGAUCAGUAGCUGGUCUGAGAGGACGGCCAGCCACACUGGGACUGAGACACGGCCCAGACUCCUACGGGAGGCAGCAGUGGGGAAUUUUGGACAAUGGGGGCAACCCUGAUCCAGCCAUGCCGCGUGAGUGAAGAAGGCCUUCGGGUUGUAAAGCUCUUUCAGCCGGAACGAAACGGUUACGGUUAAUACCCGUGAUUACUGACGGUACCGGAAGAAGAAGCACCGGCUAACUACGUGCCAGCAGCCGCGGUAAUACGUAGGGUGCAAGCGUUAAUCGGAAUUACUGGGCGUAAAGCGUGCGCAGGUGGUUUUGUAAGUCAGAUGUGAAAUCCCCGGGCUUAACCUGGGAACU